rnacentral:rRNA from 1 species
UUCUAUCUACAAUGUUCAAUCCCAACUUUUCUGAGUCCUAGUACGCAAGGAAUGGUCUCAGCGAUGCUCGACUAUAUCGGCCCCAUCGACGUAAUCAACUUCUGGCUGCUGCAAAGAAGGAGAACAAAAGGUUUAGGGAUUAAUAAGGU